rnacentral:rRNA from 1 species
AGAGUUUGAUUCUGGCUCAGGAUGAACGCUGGCGGCGUGCUUAACACAUGCAAGUCGAACGGAGUUUUUAAACGGAAGUUUUCGGAUGGAAGUUUAGAAACUUAGUGGCGGACGGGUGAGUAACGCGUGGGUAACCUGCCUCAUACAGGGGGAUAACAGUUAGAAAUGACUGCUAACACCGCAUAAUAUAGCGAAACCGCAUGAUUUUGCUAUCAAAUAUUUAUAGGUAUGAGAUGGGCCCGCGUCUGAUUAGCUAGUUGGUGGGGUAAAAGCCUACCAAGGCGACGAUCAGUAGCCGGCUUGAGAGAGUGACCGGCCACAUUGGGACUGAGACACGGCCCAAACUCCUACGGGAGGCAGCAGUGGGGAAUAUUGGACAAUGGGGGAAACCCUGAUCCAGCCGACGCCGCGUGAGUGAAGAAGUAUUUCGGUAUGUAAAGCCCUAUCAGCAGGGAAGAUAAUGACAGUACCUGACUAAGAAGCCCCGGCUAACUACGUGCCAGCCGCAGC